UAUCAAUUAUAUAAAUAUAAAAUUAUGUUUUAUAUCUAUUAUGAUAUAUACACACAAAUAAUAAAAUGAGAAUACUUACAUCUUCGUUUGAUGAGCCUUCAUCAGUUACAAUGGUGUAUGAAGACAUUGUAUUUGCCUUUAAUAAAAAUUUUCUUGUAGCGGUUAUGUAAGGGUGUGAAGCGACGACGCAGCAAGUUCAAUAGAAAAUGUUGAGAUUUAACACUGACUAUAAUCAAUGUAUGCUGAAUGAUUAUAUAGAAUCUAAUAAGGUUGUAUGAGUGUGUAAAGUAAUCAUGUAUUAUUGUCAGAUAAUUAGAUAUAAAUAAAAUAAAUGUAUUGCACUCAUUUUUGUUUCAGGCUUUCCACAUUAAAUUGAACAUAGAGAUCAUUUGGUUAAAACACUGCUAAUUUAUAAUUUUAAAUAACUUUAACAUAUAUAUAUAUUAUGUAUAACGAUAAAAAUAAUGUCAGUUUGCAGUUUAUAAUCAGUCUAAUAUUAUGAUGUGAUGUAAUAUCGCAUGAUUAUUUUAUUUUCAGGUAAACUGGUCUGAUUAGUUAGAUAUAAAUAAAAUAAAUGCUGUGUACUCAUUUUUUUAGGCUUUCCACAUUUAAUUGAACAUAAAGGUUCUUUGAUCAGAUUACCUAUGCUAAUUUAUAACUUUAAAUAACUUUUACAUAUAAAAUAAAAAAAAAUGUCAGUUUGCAGUUUAUAAUCAGUCUAAUAUUAUGAUAUGGUUUAAUAUUGCAUGAUUAUUUUAUUUUCAGGUAAACUGGUCUGAUUAAUUAGAUAUAAAUAAAAUAAAUGCAAUGCAGUAAUUUUGCUUUUUAGGCUUGCUACAACAAUUGUGUUGCACUUUGUCAUCAUUUUAUCAGAUUACCUACUUUAUUCAAUAAUUAGUAAUGAUUUUUUUAUAAUUUUAAACUUUUUAUAUACAUAUUAAUUCCAAUUUAUAUAAAAAAACAUCAAGACCUAUGUAUAAUAACUGCAUCAUCACGCUAUCAGACCAUCUAAAAUUAGUAAUUUAUUAACUAGUGCUGAUGUAGCUCAAUGACGUUCUGUAUAUUUUCCAUAAAUGUGAUAGUACAUAUAAAUAUAGAUUCAUUUUUCAUUGAACUCUAGAGUUUUUUAGAUCUAUGAUUACAGUUAUAUAACUAAUUCUUAAACAAUUUGUGUAUGUACCAAUUCAUUUUUCAACUGUUACCUAUUCAACGUGAACGUGCAAUUCAAGAUUUGUUCAGCAAACAAAUAGAUUAAUACCUACUAUUAAAUAGUAAGCAACGUCUACAAACUGAACACACAUUGACAAUUGAAGAUUUGUACAAUAAUCAUAUGAAAAUAUCAGCAAUAACAUCUUAAGCAGAGUAUACAAACUGAACACACAUUGACAAUUGAAGAUUUGUACAGUAAUCAAAAUGAACAACAGUAACAUACAAAAACCGAAUAAUAAAAUAAUAAUUAUUGAUUUUGAAUUCACAAACUAUCAACGUACUGAUUUAAUACUUAUUUCUGCAGCAAUAUCACAGACUCAUACUGAAUCAAAAAUUAAACGUUUGCGAGGUCGACCAUUAAUAAUAUCACCUGAUGGAAGAAUAACAUUAAUGAAUAAUUAUACCUAUUUAAAAACCAGAGAUUUGUUACUAAAAAUUUUUGAAAAGAAACCAGAUCAACUUCAAGUAAUACUAAAUGAAUUAAAUUUAGCUAUGGAAACAAAAACUUCAAACUUAACCAAAAACUAUUUAAAAAACUAUCUUAAUUUUAAUAAUCAAAAUCCAAUUAUUUUACUAUGGAAUGGUAGUUCAGAUAAAAAUAUUUUAUUGAGAUUAGGUUUUAAUACCUAUAUAAUGUUAAAUAUGACUGCAUAUGAUACUGAUAAUAAUAAAAUAUUUUAUUUAAAUUUAAUUAAUUUCCAAAAUAAUGAAAUUAUAUUAAGUUAUAAAUUAGGUUAUAUUAUUAAAAAUGGUAGAUUUCUAUCGUUGAAAGAAACUCAUGAUUUAAUUUGUGAUCUUAACCAUGAUAUUACUUUUAUACAUGACGCAGUUAAUGAUGUAAAAUUAACGAAAUGUAUUUUCAAUUACUUAUGUAUAAAAUAUAAUUAUCAGAAUAUUUUAAGUAAAAUAUGCAUUACACUUUAAAAA